AGGAUAUCUUCUGAUUGGUUGGCGAACAGUUAAGGGUGUACCCCGCCUCUCGCCCGAAGAUGGCUGGGAUAGGCUCCAGGACGCCCUCAACCCUAGUGAGGAGAAGCGGGCCGGGGCAACCCUUUGCCUCCAGUGCUUUUGAACCGUCAGCCUUUUGUGUCCUCCACCGGCGCUUUUGUUCUACAUGAAACAGACUAUGUAUGGUCAGCAGCAGCGGGAUCCUGUAGCAGCAAGUGUCAGUUCCGCCACGGGCUCACGCGGACGCAUUUUGAAGAUGAAGGCGACUGUGCACAAACAUCCCGCAGAUCAGGGCGGCAGUGGAGCCUGGUCGUUAGGAUGCGGAUAUGCGCAUACCAGAUGAGCCGCGCCUUCUUACAAUGCCUGGACAACAUGAAGGAAGACGAGUAGAAAAUGUGCCAGAGAGAACAGAAAGAGUCCAUACACUCUCAAAAAGCCGCAAAGCUCAGCAUUGUUUACAAACCCCUUUUUGACACCAUUUUCCUUUUUCCUCAAAGGCCGACACAAAUCCCUCUUUGCCCCUACCACAUUCAAUCACACAGAGAAACACUGUAAAGCUUCACAGACACACUGUGGAUACAUAAUGAAUCAAGCUCCGGUUUUGUAUGAAGUGUUUUCAUUUACAAACAUUCUCUUGUGCGGUUUAAAGUGUCCUCGCCUUAUCAAAGCAUGGACACUUACUGCAUUGCUUCAGCUUUGUUACAGUGCCUGAAACAUUUA